AGCAAACUGCCAUCCCACACAAGAUGGCGGCAUGCAAAGAGGAGAGAGGGAAGAAGAAGGGAAGAAGAGAGGAAACGUGGCAGCUGCGGCCACACUUCUGACCGGUGCUCUCAGAGUAAUACUUCAAGAACUGGGCUCCCAGCUUCUGAGACUCUUCCAGGUCGACGAGGAGCCCCGGGAAUCGGCGGAUCCAGCAGUCUCUGAAGAAGAUGGUGGGCGAGCAGAGGGUGUGUGCGGCGGGGCCCCUGCUGAGGAGCAGCAGCGCAGCCAGCGUCAGCGCCUUGGCCGCCCGCCCGCAUGGCCCGCACAGAGACAGCACGACCUCCAGAGGGGUGCAGGAGCCCACCAUUGGGGUGCAGGAUUUAGGAAUCUGCAGAUCUUCAGGCUGUUGCUAGGGUGAGGCUCUUUGGGACGUUUCCAGAGUCACCUAUGUUGAUUUUUCUUUCCUCACAGUGGCACCCAAGGACACAUCUUUCAUUGAACGGGAUUUUGUUUUUGGUCUAUUUCAAAAGGCCAGAAAAUACCAGUCUGAAGCAUACCUGUGGCUGAUGGGAAACAAAAGCAUCCAUUGGUGUAGGAUUCUAAAGAGGCUGAGGAGAGACUGAGAGCCUGUUCAUCCUGACUGACCCGCUGAGUCCUGCACUGUAGCACAUCAACUGCACAGCCAACUGCUCUGACACUGGGUCUUCCAGCAGGUCCUCUAGCUGACUGCCUAAUCCUUGAUCCAAGUGGUAUUUCUGCAGAGAAGGCUACAUCCUUGACCUCUCACCUGUCCUCAUGGGUCCACACCUGCUCUUGCUCCCCCACCAAAAACAACACUGUCCCACCACUCUGUCGGGGGAUGGAGGGUGAGAGGCCCUUGUGGGAACAGAUGAAGUCUUACUAGUAAUGACAUAAACAAUUAAUUCAUUGAUUUUUAAAAAUUA